GAAUGCUUAUUAGGCUUGUAGCCAAUUUGCAUGUUAGUCCAAGAACAAGGUAAAAUAUAAUCAUUGUUGCUUUGUUAGUGGUGAAUUCCUUGUCCUAGGUUCCUCCAAACUGAUAUCAUUUUAAUUGCAUUUCUUAUUAAAUUGCUUAGUUUAAUAGUCUUCACAAAUUCUCUUUUUCAAAUAUUUUUUAAGAAAACAACUGUACCCCAAUCCCUGUGGAUCGAUACCCGUAAUCACUAUCCUACCAGAUACGUGCUAUUGCGUGGUCGACCAGGCUCCCGACUUGAGGGCGCCUAACCUGAAGGCGCCCGAUCAGGAGGCGCCCGAGCAGGCGCCUGACCUGAAGGCGCCCGACCUCAGGAUACCCGACUCCGAGCCCCGCGGCCCUGCAACCCUGAUCUCAGCCAAGUCGACCCCGAUCGACUUUGACCCUGAAGGAGACCUAGCCAGAGAAUAAGGCAAACUCCUCCACUUCGCCAGGAACCGAGCCUUCUAGGGCCUCGUCCUGUGAUCUCCGCCUGAACGGCUGUCAACAAUUAAUGCGCAUGGUCUUCACAGAUCUCUGACUUACUCAACAAUAAAUGCGCAUACCCUCCACGGAUCUCCAGCCUACUCAAA
rnacentral:lncRNA from 1 species